GCGAUACACAGUCAGUGUCUAAGGGAAACCGAUAAGUGAUCCACCUGGGGAGUACGAUCGCAAGGUUGAAACUCAAAGGAAUUGACGGGGGCCCGCACAAGCGGAGGAGCAUGUGGUUUAAUUCGAUGAUACGCGAGGAACCUUACCUAGACUUAAAUGUAGAUUGCAUAGAGUAGAAAUAUUCUUUUCCUUCGGGACUAUUUACAAGGUGCUGCAUGGUUGUCGUCAGCUCGUGCCGUGAGGUGUCGGGUUAAGUCCCAUAACGAGCGCAACCCCUAUUCUUGGUUGCCAGCGGAUAAUGCCGGGGACUCUAGGAAAACUGCCAGCGUAAGCUGUGAGGAAGGUGGGGAUGACGUCAAAUCAGCACGGCCCUUACGUCUAGGGCUACACACGUGCUACAAUGGCCGGUACAGAGGGCAGCUACCACGUGAGUGGAUGCGAAUCUCCAAAGCCGGUCUCAGUUCGGAUCGAAGUCUGCAACUCGACUUCGUGAAGUUGGAUUCGCUAGUAAUCGUAUAUCAGCAAUGAUACGGUGAAUACGUUCCCGGGCCUUGUACACACCGCCCGUCAAACAAUGGAAGCUGGGGGUACCUAAAGUCUGUGAUCUCACUUGUGGGAAGCGGCCUAGGGUAAAACUAGUAACUGGUGUUAAGUCGUAACAAGGUAGCCG
rnacentral:rRNA from 1 species